rnacentral:rRNA from 1 species
GACGAACGCUGGCGGCGUGCUUAACACAUGCAAGUCGAACGGAAAGACCCGGCGUUUGUUGGGUGCUCGAUUGGCGAACGGGGGAGUAACACGUGUGUAUCCUGCCCUUGACUUUGGGGUAACUUCAGGAAACUGGGGCUAUUAUCGCGUAUGAGCUCUUGCUGCAUGGUGGGGAUUGGAAAAAUUCGGCUGUUGGGGCUCGACUCGAUGCUUAUCAGCUUGUUGGUGAGGUAGGUGCUUACCAAGGGUUUGACGGGUAGCCGGCCUGAGAGGGUGAACGGCCACAUUGGGACUGAGAUACGGACCAGAAGCCUACGGGAGGCAGCAGUGGAGAAUAUUGCGGAAUGGGGGGAAGCCUGAUGCAGCAACGCCGCGUGCGGGAUGCCGGCCUUCGGGUUGUAAACAGAUUUCGACUGUGCCGAAGAGUGAGUGACGGUAAUGGGUAAAGAAGCAACGGCUAACUACGUG